rnacentral:tRNA from 1 species
GGAGAGGUCGCAUAGUGGCCUAGUGCGCCGCCUUGGAAAGGCGGUAUACCGCAAGGUAUCGAGGGUUCAACUCCCUCCCUCUCCG